AAACUGAUAACUGCGAUAUGACCGCUCUCCAUUUACUGAGCAGUUCCAAUCUUAGUCUUUUACUUGUUAAUAGACUACACAACUCCAUUAUUUGUCAGCUGAUACAGGCUAACAGAGACUAGCAAAGAAUUAUUUGAUAAGUAAAAAGAUAGCAUAUAAUUAGAUCCUGGGAAGAAAAAAUUUCCUUUUAACACUAUCAUUGUCAACUUUACAGAAUUUGGAUGACAUUGGUUUUCUGAGAGUGCUGGGAGCGUUAUCUAGGUAGGGCACCCUUGCUAACCAGCUACUACAGUAAGGCAAUACUCUAAGCAGUAUCUGUUUAAGCAAUAUUGAGGGCCAGGGAUGUCUCUAGAUAUUGUGAGGCCUUAGGUGAACCUCAAACAUGAGGCCCCCCACUAACACCCAUACUGGGGAAAUAACUGGGGUUGCAUUGUGCGUGUAUAAGGAGCUUUAGUUAUGUUGAAGGAUGAGCUUGCAGUGCUGGAUGCAAAAAGCUAGUCUCUGUAUUCAUCGUUCAGAGACUUGUAGUAUCGUAGCUCCCUUUGCCGCUAUGUGUAGUUAUGGCAUAAUUUGCAAAUGAAAUUAAUUAGCAAUAAACAAAUUGAAUUGCACUUAUGUUACUAGUGUAUACACCAUUGCGGGGUUUAGUUUCAUAGCCUGGCAGUCAUGUACACAUGGGUUUAAAUGUUUGUUUUAUGAAAAAAACAUCUAAAAAGUAAUUUACUGAAUAAUAAAGUUACAGAUAGGAAAACCGUGUCAAAGAAAUUUUCCCCACAUAUUCGCUAACACUUUCACGUAUAUUAUCCUAUAUGUUCUUUAUAUAUGUUUCCCCAUGUAUUGUAUAUAUCUGUUGCCACUUUACCAUUGCAUUGCCCAUACCACCCUCACAUUGCAGCCAUAGACUCUCUAAUACACAUUCUGAAAAACAUUGACAAGUACAGAAAUAUGGUGACCAUUUGUAUCUGGC